rnacentral:rRNA from 1 species
AGUGAACGCUGGCGGUAGGCCUAACACAUGCAAGUCGAACGGCAGCACAGUAAGAGCUUGCUCUUACGGGUGGCGCGUGGCGGACGGGUGAGGAAUACAUCGGAAUCUACUUUUUCGUGGGGGAUAACGUAGGGAAACUUACGCUAAUACCGCAUACGACCUACGGGUGAAAGCAGGGGAUCUUCGGACCUUUCGCGAUUGAAUGAGCCGAUGUCGGAUUCGCUAGUUGGCGGGGUAAAGGCCCACCAAGGCGACGAUCCGUAGCUGGUCUGAGAGGAUGAUCAGCCACACUGGAACUGAGACACGGUACAGACUCCUACGGGAGGCAGCAGUGGGGAAUAUUGGACAAUGGGCGCAAGCCUGAUCCAGCCAUACCGCGUGGGUGAAGAAGGCCUUCGGGUUGUAAAGCCCUUUUGUUGGGAAAGAAAAGCAGCAGGUUAAUACCCCGCUGUUCUGACGGUACCCAAAGAAUAAGCACCGGCUAACUUCGUG